UCCCUGAUAGCUCAGUUGGUAAAGAAUCUGCCUGCAAUGCAGCAGACCCCGGUUCGAUCCCUGGGUUGGGAA
rnacentral:tRNA from 1 species